UCUUCCGUAGUAUAGUGGUAAGUAUGCAAGCUUGUCACGCUUGAGACCCGGGUUCAAUUCCCGGCGGGAGAG
rnacentral:tRNA from 1 species